rnacentral:rRNA from 1 species
UCCCUAGUAACCCUAGUGCGAUUGUAGUUGAGCCUUGCCAUUUAUGCAAGUGUCAAUUCUCAGUGGGGACAGACAUUUGAUAAUUCUUUGUCUCGUUCUUAACUAGGAAUGCCUUGUACGGGUCUUGGUUCAACAGACCACCCGGAAUACGUCCCUGCCCUUUGUACACACCGCCCGUCGCUCUUACCGAUGACUUUCCCUGUGAGUUUGAAGGACUGGUGGUUGCAURGACUAUUGGAAAUUCUGUC